rnacentral:misc_RNA from 1 species
AACUUUCGACAACGGAUCACUUGGCUCGCGCAUCGAUGAAGAACGCAGCGAAAUGCGAUACGUAAUGUGAAUUGCAGAAUUCAGUGAAUCAUCGAAUCUUUGAACGCAUAUUGCGCUCUCUGGUAUUCCGGAGAGCAUGCUUGUUUGAUUAUCAGUAAUCACCUCAACUUCCAUAUCUUUUUUGAAAUGUAAGUUUGACUUUAGUGAUCCCAUCGCUUUUCCUCACCGAAAAGUGGCGGGUUACUUGAAAUGCAGGUGCAGCUGGACUUUUCUCUGAGCUAUAAGCAUAUCUAUUUAGUCUGCCUAAAAAACAGAUUAUUACCUUUGCUGCAGCUAACAUAAAGGAGAUUAGUUCUUGUGCUGACUGAUGCAGGAUUCACAAAGACAGGCUUCGGCCGACUUUGUAAACUCGAUCUCAAAUCAAGUAAGACUACCCGCUGAACUUAAGCAUAUCAAUAAGCGGAGGAC